rnacentral:rRNA from 1 species
AUGAACGCUGGCGGCGUGCCUAACACAUGCAAGUCGAGCGAGAAGCUCAUGACGGAAUCUUCGGAGGACGGAUUGAGUGGAAAGCGGCGGACGGGUGAGUAACGCGUGGGUAACCUGCCCUGUACAGAGGAAUAGCCAUUGGAAACGAUGAUUAAUGCCUCAUAAGACUACAGUAUCGCAUGAUACAGUAGCCAAAACUCCGGUGGUACAGGAUGGACCCGCGUUAGAUUAGCUAGUUGGUAAGGUAAAGGCUUACCAAGGCGACGAUCUAUAGCCGACCUGAGAGGGUGAUCGGCCACACUGGAACUGAGACACGGUCCAGACUCCUACGGGAGGCAGCAGUGGGGAAUAUUGGGCAAUGGGCGCAAGCCUGACCCAGCAACGCCGCGUGAGGGAAGAAUGUCUUUCGGAUUGUAAACCUCUGUCCUUGGGGACGAAACAAAUGACGGUACCCAAGGAGAAGCUCCGGCUAACUACGUGCCAGCCGCCGCGGUAAUU